rnacentral:rRNA from 1 species
UACAGAGGUGGCAAGCGUUGUUCGGAAUUACUGGGCGUAAAGGGCGCGUAGGCGGUCUUGUAAGUCUUGUGUGAAAUCCCUCGGCUUAACUGAGGAACUGCACGGGAUACUGCGAGACUUGAGAUCGGGAGAGGGAAGCGGAAUUCCGGGUGUAGCGGUGAAAUGCGUAGAUAUCGGAAGGAACACCAGUGGCGAAAGCGGCUUCCUGGUCCAGCACCGACGUUCAGGCACGAAAGCGUGGGGAGCAAACAGG